AGACGUAUCCGGCGAGGAGAGCAGCAUGGAUACGAGCCGUAAGGCGAGUAAACCUCGAUGGCUCAGCUUGGCAACCGAGCGAGUACUCCAGAAUCUGCGGAGCUCAUUUUGUUACAGGCCACCCGUCGAACUUCAGCAAGCACCCCGACUAUGUGCCCAGCGCGUUCACCAACGCACGGUCUGUCGGCGCAGCGGCAGUGCGGAGGCAUAGACGUUGGAUGAACAGACAGGACACAGAAUGUGCUACCAGCUGCACAUCUAGUAAACAAAUCAUCAAGUCUGAUUCUGCAGCUGCACGGUGCCCUCAAACAACUCCUUCCAGCUCAAAUGAGAAUGCUGAGGCUCAUCAACCAGGAGCCACCUGUUUAUUUUAACUGAAGUAUAUUGAACUUGCAAAGGAGAUUGUCACAUCCGCAAACAUCGAGGAGGCACCACAGUUGGAGGCUCUGCCAA